rnacentral:rRNA from 1 species
UACGAAGGGGGCGAGCGUUGUUCGGAUUUACUGGGCGUAAAGGGCGCGCAGGCGGCCGGCCAAGUCAGGCGUGAAAGCCCCGGGCUUAACCUGGGAAAUGCGUCUGAUACUGGUUGGCUUGAAUCCGGGAGAGGGAUGCAGAAUUCCAGGUGUAGCGGUGAAAUGCGUAGAUAUCUGGAGGAAUACCGGUGGCGAAGGCGGCAUCCUGGACCGGCAUUGACGCUGAGGAGCGAAAGCUAGGGGAGCAAACGGG